AUUCAAACGCCGGAAAGUCUCACCGGGGUCGGACAGCAAUAUGAAGGUCAGGCUGAAGACUUACCCCGAUUAGCUGAGAGGUGGUGCAUGGCCGUCGUCAGUUCGUACUGUGAAGCAUCCUGUUAAGUCAGGCACGAGCGAGACCCACGUCCACAGUUGCCAGCAUACCCUCCGGGGUGAUGGGUACACUGUGGAGACCGCCGCUGCUAAAGCGGAGGAAGGAGUGGGCAACGGUAGGUCAGUAUGCCCCGAAUCUCCCGGGCUACACGCGGGCUACAAUGGUUGGUACAAUGGGCAUCUACCCCGAAAGGGGAAGGAAAUCUCUUAAAGCCAAUCGUAGUUCGGAUUGAGGGCUGCAACUCGCCCUCAUGAAGCUGGAAUCCGUAGUAAUCGCGUUUCAACAGAACGCGGUGAAUACGUCCCUGCUCCUU
rnacentral:rRNA from 1 species